UACAGAGGGUGCGAGCGUUGUCCGGAUUUACUGGGCGUAAAGAGCGCGCAGGCGGUCGUUCAAGUCGCGUGUGAAAGCCCCCGGCUCAACUGGGGAGGGUCACGCGAUACUGAUCGACUGGAAGGCAGGAGAGGGUAGUGGAAUUCCCGGUGUAGUGGUGAAAUGCGUAGAUAUCGGGAGGAACACCAGUGGCGAAGGCGACUACCUGGCCUGUUCUUGACGCUGAGGCGCGAAAGCUAGGGGAGCAAACGGG
rnacentral:rRNA from 1 species